GGUUAAGCGACUAAGCGUACACGGUGGAUGCCCUGGCAGUCAGAGGCGAUGAAGGACGUGCUAAUCUGCGAUAAGCGUCGGUGAGGUGAUAUGAACCGUUAUAACCGGCGAUUUCCGAAUGGGGAAACCCAGUGUGUUUCGACACACUAUCAUUAACUGAAUCCAUAGGUUAAUGAGGCGAACCGGGGGAACUGAAACAUCUAAGUACCCCGAGGAAAAGAAAUCAACCGAGAUUCCCCCAGUAGCGGCGAGCGAACGGGGAGGAGCCCAGAGCCUGAAUCAGUGUGUGUGUUAGUGGAAGCGUCUGGAAAGGCGUGCGAUACAGGGUGACAGCCCCGUACACAAAAAUGCACAUAUUGUGAGCUCGAUGAGUAGGGCGGGACACGUGGUAUCCUGUCUGAAUAUGGGGGGACCAUCCUCCAAGGCUAAAUACUCCUGACUGACCGAUAGUGAACCAGUACCGUGAGGGAAAGGCGAAAAGAACCCCGGCGAGGGGAGUGAAAAAGAACCUGAAACCGUGUACGUACAAGCAGUGGGAGCCUCUUAAUGGGGUGACUGCGUACCUUUUGUAUAAUGGGUCAGCGACUUAUAUUCUGUAGCAAGGUUAACCGAAUAGGGGAGCCGAAGGGAAACCGAGUCUUAACUGGGCGUUAAGUUGCAGGGUAUAGACCCGAAACCCGGUGAUCUAGCCAUGGGCAGGUUGAAGGUUGGGUAACACUAACUGGAGGACCGAACCGACUAAUGUUGAAAAAUUAGCGGAUGACUUGUGGCUGGGGGUGAAAGGCCAAUCAAACCGGGAGAUAGCUGGUUCUCCCCGAAAGCUAUUUAGGUAGCGCCUCGUGAAUUCAUCUCCGGGGGUAGAGCACUGUUUCGGCAAGGGGGUCAUCCCGACUUACCAACCCGAUGCAAACUGCGAAUACCGGAGAAUGUUAUCACGGGAGACACACGGCGGGUGCUAACGUCCGUCGUGAAGAGGGAAACAACCCAGACCGCCAGCUAAGGUCCCAAAGUCAUGGUUAAGUGGGAAACGAUGUGGGAAGGCCCAGACAGCCAGGAUGUUGGCUUAGAAGCAGCCAUCAUUUAAAGAAAGCGUAAUAGCUCACUGGUCGAGUCGGCCUGCGCGGAAGAUGUAACGGGGCUAAACCAUGCACCGAAGCUGCGGCAGCGACACUAUGUGUUGUUGGGUAGGGGAGCGUUCUGUAAGCCUGUGAAGGUGGCCUGUGAGGGUUGCUGGAGGUAUCAGAAGUGCGAAUGCUGACAUAAGUAACGAUAAAGCGGGUGAAAAGCCCGCUCGCCGGAAGACCAAGGGUUCCUGUCCAACGUUAAUCGGGGCAGGGUGAGUCGACCCCUAAGGCGAGGCCGAAAGGCGUAGUCGAUGGGAAACAGGUUAAUAUUCCUGUACUUGGUGUUACUGCGAAGGGGGGACGGAGAAGGCUAUGUUGGCCGGGCGACGGUUGUCCCGGUUUAAGCGUGUAGGCUGGUUUUCCAGGCAAAUCCGGAAAACCAAGGCUGAGGCGUGAUGACGAGGCACUACGGUGCUGAAGCGACAAAUGCCCUGCUUCCAGGAAAAGCCUCUAAGCAUCAGGUAACAUCAAAUCGUACCCAAAACCGACACAGGUGGUCAGGUAGAGAAUACCAAGGCGCUUGAGAGAACUCGGGUGAAGGAACUAGGCAAAAUGGUGCCGUAACUUCGGGAGAAGGCACGCUGAUAUGUAGGUGAAGCGACUUGCUCGUGGAGCUGAAAUCAGUCGAAGAUACCAGCUGGCUGCAACUGUUUAUUAAAAACACAGCACUGUGCAAACACGAAAGUGGACGUAUACGGUGUGACGCCUGCCCGGUGCCGGAAGGUUAAUUGAUGGGGUUAGCGGUAACGCGAAGCUCUUGAUCGAAGCCCCGGUAAACGGCGGCCGUAACUAUAACGGUCCUAAGGUAGCGAAAUUCCUUGUCGGGUAAGUUCCGACCUGCACGAAUGGCGUAAUGAUGGCCAGGCUGUCUCCACCCGAGACUCAGUGAAAUUGAACUCGCUGUGAAGAUGCAGUGUACCCGCGGCAAGACGGAAAGACCCCGUGAACCUUUACUAUAGCUUGACACUGAACAUUGAGCCUUGAUGUGUAGGAUAGGUGGGAGGCUUUGAAGUGUGGACGCCAGUCUGCAUGGAGCCGACCUUGAAAUACCACCCUUUAAUGUUUGAUGUUCUAACGUUGGCCCGUAAUCCGGGUUGCGGACAGUGUCUGGUGGGUAGUUUGACUGGGGCGGUCUCCUCCUAAAGAGUAACGGAGGAGCACGAAGGUUGGCUAAUCCUGGUCGGACAUCAGGAGGUUAGUGCAAUGGCAUAAGCCAGCUUGACUGCGAGCGUGACGGCGCGAGCAGGUGCGAAAGCAGGUCAUAGUGAUCCGGUGGUUCUGAAUGGAAGGGCCAUCGCUCAACGGAUAAAAGGUACUCCGGGGAUAACAGGCUGAUACCGCCCAAGAGUUCAUAUCGACGGCGGUGUUUGGCACCUCGAUGUCGGCUCAUCACAUCCUGGGGCUGAAGUAGGUCCCAAGGGUAUGGCUGUUCGCCAUUUAAAGUGGUACGCGAGCUGGGUUUAGAACGUCGUGAGACAGUUCGGUCCCUAUCUGCCGUGGGCGCUGGAGAACUGAGGGGGGCUGCUCCUAGUACGAGAGGACCGGAGUGGACGCAUCACUGGUGUUCGGGUUGUCAUGCCAAUGGCACUGCCCGGUAGCUAAAUGCGGAAGAGAUAAGUGCUGAAAGCAUCUAAGCACGAAACUUGCCCCGAGAUG
rnacentral:rRNA from 1 species